rnacentral:rRNA from 1 species
GACGAACGCUGGCGGCGUGCUUAACACAUGCAAGUCGAACGGAAAGGCCCUGCUUUUGUGGGGUGCUCGAGUGGCGAACGGGUGCGUAACACGUGAGUAACCUGCCCUUGACUUUGGGAUAACUUCAGGAAACUGGGGCUAAUACCGGAUAGGAGCUCCUGCUGCAUGGUGGGGGUUGGAAAGUUUCGGCGGUUGGGGAUGGACUCGCGGCUUAUCAGCUUGUCGGUGGGGCAGUGGCUUACCAAGGCUGUGACGGGUAGCCGGCCUGAGCGGGUGACCGGCCACCUUGGGACUGAGGUACGGCCCAGACUCCUACGGGGGGCAGCAGUGGGGAAUAUUGCACAAUGGGCGGAAGCCUGAUGCAGCAACGCCGCGUGCGGGAUGACGGCCUUCGGGUUGUAAACCGCUUUCGCCUGUGACGAAGCGUGAGUGACGGUAAUGGGUAAAGAAGCACCGGCUAACUACGUG